GACGAACGCUGGCGGCGUGCUUAAAACAUGCAAGUCGAACGCGUCCCGACUUCGGUCGGGACGAGUGGCGCACGGGUGCGUAACACGUGAGCAACCUGCCGAUGAGUGGGGGAUACCGUUCCGAAAGGGACGUUAAUUCCGCAUACGCUGCGAGAGGGGCCUCCCUUUUGCAGGAAAGCCGCAAGGCGCUGAUCGAGGGGCUCGCGGCCUAUCAGCUAGUCGGUGAGGUAACGGCUCACCGAGGCGACGACGGGUAGCCGGCCUGAGAGGGUGACCGGCCACACUGGGACUGAGACACGGCCCAGACUCCUACGGGGGCAGGCAGUUGGGAAUCUUGCGCAAUGGGCGAAAGCCUGACGCAGCGACGCCGCGUGCGGGAUGACGGUCUUCGGAUUGUAAACCGCUUUUCUCGGGGACGACUCUCGACGGUACCCGAGGAAGAAGCCCCGGCUAACUCCGUG
rnacentral:rRNA from 1 species